GCGCACCAGUCGCGAAACCUCCGCAAUACGCGAAAGCGUGACGGGGUCAUCCCGAGUGCCGUCCGCUGAGGAUGGCUUUUCCCCAGUGUAGACAGCUGGGGGAAUAAGGAGAGGGCAAGUCGGGUGUCAGCCGCCGCGGUAAUACCCGCUCUCUGAGUGGUGGGGACGCUUAUUGGGCCUAAAGCAUCCGUAGCUGGCUGGGCAAGUCCCCUGUUAAAUCCAGCGAUUCAAUCGUUGGACUGCGGGGGAUACUGUCCGGCUAGGGGGCGGGAGAGGCCGACGGUAUUUCCGGGGUAGGGGUGAAAUCCUAUAAUCCCGGGAGGACCUGCAGUGGCGAAGGCGGGUAGCCAGAACGCGCUCGACGGUGAGGGGCGAAAGCUGGGGGAGCGAACCGGAUUAGAUACCCGGGUAGUCC
rnacentral:rRNA from 1 species